rnacentral:rRNA from 1 species
AUUGAACGCUGGCGGCAGGCCUAACACAUGCAAGUCGAGCGGAUGAAGGGAGCUUGCUCCUGGAUUCAGCGGCGGACGGGUGAGUAAUGCCUAGGAAUCUGCCUGGUAGUGGGGGAUAACGUCCGGAAACGGGCGCUAAUACCUCAUACGUCCUGAUGGUGAAAGUGGGGGAUCUUCGGACCUCACGCUAUCAGAUGAGCCUAGGUCGGAUUAGCUAGUUGGUGGGGUAAAGGCCUACCAAGGCGACGAUCCGUAACUGGUCUGAGAGGAUGAUCAGUCACACUAGAACUGAGACACGGUCCAGACUCCUACGGGAGGCAGCAGUGGGGAAUAUUGGACAAUGGGCGAAAGCCUGAUCCAGCCAUGCCGCGUGUGUGAAGAAGGUCUUCGGAUUGUAAAGCACUUUAAGUUGGGAGGAAGGGCAGUAAGUUAAUACCUUGCUGUUUUGACGUUACCAACAGAAUAAGCACCGGCUAACUUCGUG